rnacentral:misc_RNA from 1 species
GUAGGUGAACCUGCGGAAGGAUCAUUACUGAGUUCAUGCCCUAACGGGUAGAUCUCCACCCUUGAAUAUAAACUCUUGUUGCUUUGGCGGGCCGCUUAAGCUACUGGCUUCGGCUGGUGAGUGCCCGCCAGAGAACCCCAAACUUUAAAUUACAGUAUUGUCUGAGUACUAUAUAAUAGUUAAAACUUUCAACAACGGAUCUCUUGGUUCUG